rnacentral:tRNA from 1 species
GCGGGAAUAGCUCAGUGGUAGAGCGGCGGCCUUCCAAGCCGUCGGUCGCGGGUUCGAAUCCCGUUUCCCGCU